rnacentral:rRNA from 1 species
UGCCAGCCGCCGCGGUAACACGGGGGGCGCAAGCGUUAUUCGGAAUUAUUGGGCGUAAAGGGCGCGUAGGCGGUCUUGUCAGUCAGGUGUGAAAGCCCGGGGCUCAACCCCGGAAGUGCAUUGGAAACUGGCGAACUUGAGUACGGGAGAGGAAAGUGGAAUUCCGAGUGUAGGGGUGAAAUCCGUAGAUAUUGGGAAGAACACCAGUGGCGAAGGCGGCUAACUGGCUCGGUACUGACGCUGAGAUGCGAAAGCGUGGGGAGCAAACAGGAUUAGAUA